rnacentral:misc_RNA from 1 species
AUGAAAUUGAGUGGACCUAGCACCGAGCAAUCGGAUGGCCGCUUUCAUCUCAUUUUACCCACACUGUGCUCUCAGAAGAUUUUUCAUCAAAACCAAACAUGUUUUUUUGAAAUAUUUUUCUAUACACGCUUAAACGUAGAAAAUGUAUUGUGAUGUUUUAGAAACAUUAAAUUGUAUAAGAAAGAA